rnacentral:snRNA from 1 species
AUACUUACCUGGCAGGGGAGAUACUAUGAUCACGAAGGUGGUUUUCCCAGGGCAAGGAUUAUCCAUGCAUUCUGGAUGUGCUGGUCCCUGCAAUUUCCUCAAUUAUGGGACACUCAAAUGCAUAAUUUGGCGUAGUGCAUUCACACUCU